rnacentral:rRNA from 1 species
AUUGAACGCUGGCGGCAUGCCUAACACAUGCAAGUCGCACGCGAAAGGGGGCAACCCUGAGUAGAGUGGCGGACGGGUGAGUAACGCGUAGGAAUCUACCUGGUAGUGGGGGACAACCCGGUGAAAACCGGGCUAAUACCGCAUACGAUCCACGGAUGAAAGCAGGGGACCGCAAGGCCUUGCGCUAUCAGAUGAGCCUGCGUCGGAUUAGCUAGUUGGUGGGGUAAAGGCCCACCAAGGCGACGAUCCGUAGCUGGUUUGAGAGAACGACUAGCCACACUGGGACUGAGACACGGCCCAGACUCCUACGGGAGGCAGCAGUGGGGAAUAUUGGACAAUGGGGGCAACCCUGAUCCAGCAAUGCCGCGUGUGUGAAGAAGGCCUUCGGGUUGUAAAGCACUUUCGGUGGGGACAAACAAGGUGGAGCUAACAUCUCCGCCUCUGAUGGUACCCAAAGAAGAAGCACCGGCUAACCCUGUGCCAGCCGCCGCCGUAA